AGCACAUUUACCUCCCACUUCAAGAGGACUCUUUGAGGAAAUUCAUCAAUAUUGCUGAUGUGAGUAUAAAUCACACAUUUGAGGAAAAAACCUACACAUGUCACAGUCUCCAGGUGUCAGCGUCUUUUCACGAAAAUGAUUCAGGGAAGACAGUCUCUUUCUUCAGCGUCUUAUUUUUCUAACAUUUUCAGGCCUUUCAGUGAGGACAACUUUAUGGCGUGUUUUUUUUUUCUCCUCAAAAGACUUGAUGUCUUUGUAAACAAGGAUGACAGAGUUGGUGGAAAAGAGGAAAGUGAGGGAAGUGAGAAAAGACGGACACACAAACACUCAAAGUUUGGUUACUUGGCAACAGGAGUGGACACACAGCCCACUCUCUAACAAACAGAGCGUAGCUGGCAGGUAAAUCAUUUGGACCUAGUCUGUGGAGUUACAUUAAAAAAUCUGGCAUUUUUUAAUAUCAGAGUGUUUGUUUUUAAUUUUUCCUUUGUUGGCUUACUUUACAGAAGCAGCACUUUAUUACACAGAUGGAGUGGGCUGUUUGUCAGUGGGCUGCUAUUGACCAAACCUCUGGCAAUCACUAGUUAAUGCAAGACUCUUUUUUUUUUUCUUUUACUUGUUUGACUUCAUUAUUGUGCUUUACAUGCUAGUAAAUUAAAUCUACCAGUAGGCCUACCUGAAUACAAGUUCAGUAAGAAUGCUUGCUCUAAAUGGAGAUAUUUUUAUUUGACGCCACAGUAUACUUCUCGAGGGAAAAUACUGCGUUGGCCAAUGCAAUAUCUAUGGCUAUGUUCACACUGCAGGUCAAUUCCGAUUUUUAACCAUAUGUGACACAUAUCAGAUUUUUUCAUGUAAGUGUAAACAGUGCAAUUAUGAUUUUUUUCAAAUCCGACCCAGGCCUCUUUUGUAUGUGGAUAUAAAUCGGAUAUGUAUCCGAUGUGACUGCAGAGUGGACGCUCAGGCGCAUUUCUCCGACCUUUACGUCAUCAAAAUGCGAUAAACGUCAUCAUUGUUCCACAACACAAACAGGCGCGGAAAGCAAUUUUUGCUUUGAGCGCAUGCGGGUCACUUCAUGGACGCAUCCCGCUCACAUUAGAUGCCGCAUUCGUUGUUGCAAUGUGAACGACCGCACAAAAAGAUUGAAUUUAACAAAAAAUCUGAAUUCUGCAUCAUAACCUGCAGUAUGAACGUAGCCAUGACAGCUGCUUAAUACGUUUUAGGUUAACAUAUUUAGUAUAAUAUUUUUUCUUACAGGCCAUGAUGCAGUGUCAUUUGUUAGUUAUUGAUUUCUUGUAAUAUAUUUAUCCUAAAGAUUUUAAAAUCAAAUCGAAUCAAAACUUUAUUUGUAGAGCACUUUUCAUACAUGGACAUGCAACAAAAAGUGCUGUACAUACACAGAAAAGUAGAACAUAGAAAAAACCUAAAGCUUGUAUUUUACAGAACCACCAACAACAUUAAAAGUCUCCGACUGAAAUGCCUCUCUGCAGUUUUGAGUACUGACAUAAAAAAUCAAAACAACAGCCUGUAACAGCUCUGUCAUUUGGAGUAAUUCUUUUGACAGAACACAAAUUCCAGUGAUGUUUGUGGUUGACGGCGCACAGAGGCUACCCGCCAAUCACAUUAACAUGGGAGGUAAACUGUGUUCCUUCUUCUCCUGGUAAUAAAUAUGUACACCCUUAUUGACAGCUCUACUCUGUUGUUAUAUGAGCUUAGAGCAAAAACAACAAUAAAAGCAACACCCUGACCCGACACCACCAUCAAUUACUAAGCAGGGGUUAAUCCCAGGGGAGAGGCUGUUAAGACUGAACCAGUUCACAGGAGAUCUGUUACUGAACUUCAACCAACCUAGGAUCUGCUGAAACAAGCUAAUGUUUAGACAACUUAAAAUUAGUAUGACACAACAGGGUCAUGUUUUACUAAGGGUUUUAUUUGGAUGUGUUAAAAGUCUCAUUCAGCAGCAUUACCAGAGACAAGUUUUCAACUAAAGGAAAAAUAGUUUCUAACUCAUCUCAGCUCAAGUUUUGUUCAAUAUCAGCUACUUCAUACGUCUGCUUCACUGUAAACUAAGGCCAAUUUUUAAAUUUGUUUUACUUCUAAACAGCCGUUAAUUAUUGAGCAUAUUUGGAUUCAUGAUAAAAAGUGUACUGAAGAAUAAAUUCUGCAACAAAUGAUGUUUUACAGACUCAGUAGUGGAAAAAGUUUAAGCUUUAAUAGUGAUGUGUGCAUUUAUUGAUCAAUUGCCAAAGACGUGGUAUUAUACUGUAUCAUAUUUUAUGGAUGAAUAUUCAGUUUGAACAUUAGAUGUUGAUACUGAACAUGUGUAAAGUUUUGCAAUGGUUGUGAUGACUUGUUUAAGAAGUCAGACCCGACUUCUCUGCAAAACGAUUUGCUUGAUUCAUGACAUCAACGAUUGGUGAAUUUCCUUAAAUGACGGCCAAACUUUCUAAACCAACAACCUCCUUUGGUCUUUGCUGCUGGGGACUUUUUUGUUUCUUUUCAAAUUUUCCAGGUCCAAAACAUAUUUUUUCAUGAUUUUUCUUUUAAAAUAAAGAAACACAGCUUUUUAGCAUGGCAACAGCGGAGGAGACCUCUGAAGUGCUGAAUUCCAGAGUGCAGGGGGGCCCAACACUGUAGCUGAAAUUAGGCAUUUCAGACAGAAGCUAGUCAUAGAAAGUAGCGAGAGAUAAGUAAGAAACUGUUCAGGGGUUUAAUAUUGUAAAGCCAAUUCCUUAAAGUUAUCAGGAAGGCAAAGUCUGGAAAUAAGCAAAACACUCCCACUGAAAUUUGAGCACUCUCUCUAAUAUUUCUACUACAACAGAUCAAAACAUUCACUCUGAUCAGAUUGACUGGAAGUUACUCUACAUAUCUGUUCUCAUCAGUUGAGUAACUCUUGUUCUCAGUGAAAAGUGACGUCUCUCCUCAAAUGUCAAACGUGGAGACUUUUAAAUGUCUGAGCCUUUUCCUGGAAUCUGAAUCAGACUUUUUUCACAGUGAACUCACCUAAAGGAAGUGAAGCAGGCUCUCUCCCUUUGUGUGAUCCAGGGCCCCUAAUGACAGUAGCAGAAGUUGCUCUGCAUACUUUCACUGGUAGAGCCAUUAAAGACACUAACAGCCCCCCACCCCCCCACGGUUUUCUCAGUCUAACCUCUGUCUCCUCUCUGUCCUAAUCUGAUCUGCAGAGUCAUUUCAUAUCUCUGUCUUUCUGUCUGAACAACAGGAAUCAGCUCUGUUUGACACACAAUCAUCAGCACUGAGACACUGUAUUUGUAUCUUAAAUCUUUAUUCGACCCUUUAUAUCUCAGCUAAUGAUUAUUAUCAUUAUAUAUUAAACUAAAUUAAAUAUAUUUAUUUUAAACUGGCAGUCACUUUCUUAAAGAAAUGACAAAUGAAUUAUAAUAGAAUAGCAAAAUAUCUUAAUUCAGUUAUUUUUAGAGCUGUAGGAUGAAGACUCAUACAAAAUGCACUGAUGUUAAACUGCAAAUAAACAUCAAAUCCUUCAAAUCAAAUGUCAUUCAUCUGAUUUUUUAAAAAUAAUUAUUUCAAACCAUUUUCCAGGUUUGCAUCCUUUAAAUUUCACUUGAUAAUAAAACAUCUUUCUCACCUUAUCAAGCAGUUCUGAUUAUAGUAACACUUGGGGAACAUACACUAGAUAAGUUUGGUCAUUAUUUUAACACCUUAUCAGCAGACUUACGCGCAGAAGUCAAAACCAAAGCUAUUAAACAAAGUCAGUUGUUUCUGUUUUUUUAAGUUUAAAAUCAUCUUUAUUGUUCUGAUACUGCAUGUGAGCACAUACAAAAAAUUUGACCGCCCUUAGUUUUGAUUUCUGUGACCAAACAACAAACAUGACAUUUUACCAGGAAUUAAUGUAAGAGAUUCAAAGGUGCACUUUAUAACAUAGUUAUUUAGUAUUAAAUCACAGAGGAAGUCAACAAGACCAUCAAGAUGGAGGUUAUCUGACUGUUAUAUAACAUGUAAUGAUUACAAUGAGUCAGGUUAAAUGCUGUUUUUGAUAGUGUUUUGGUAGAACAGCUGUUUCAGGACAUUAAUUUAUGACUAGGGAUGUCAGUACAAGCCUCUCACUAAACACUGCAUGUAUAUCUAUUUUAGCUGGGCCACUUUUAACCGGUUUUGUGAAAGAUAAAACCGAGACUCAGCUUCCACAAGACUCCUGCAGAUGCUGUAAUGCAUCAUUAUUUUUCUUUCAACACUAUCAUCCUGAAAACAUCUGGGAAAGAAACUAAAUCCAAACCAAAUGUCAUUAAAAUUUAAUUUUACACAGGCGCUUCACAGACAUGUAUUUCAAUUCAUCAGUUCCCAUGAAAACAAGAAGAAGUCAGGUGGGAGAAACUAUAUAAUAAAGUGCACUGAUGUAUGUCUGCUUUGGGCUUCUGUACAUUUCAUUUUAAAGCAAUAACUGUAAACUUCUUUCUGCAACCAUGGAUGUGUAUUUUACAACUGAUAUCAAAUGCUUCAUGAAGGUGAGAGCACAACUAUAGGGUGUAAUCCCUGAUAUACCAACAAGGACAUGUGUUUUUCUGCUGACACAUUACAGAGAGCACAUGCAAAGGCACCUCCUCCAUGUUUUCUGGCUGGCUCCUGCUCAGUAAAGCAUGAAGACAUGCAGAAUUAAGAGCUAGAUUAGAAACAUGUGGGCUGACCAGGAAGACAGAUGAUAUGUGCUCAACGAGGUCGACCGUUUUCCUCUCAAAGACCUCUGGAGACCCAAGAACUGACUUUUUGAAGGAGGAGGCGAGAGAAUUAUGAGGGGAAAAACAUAAAAAUCUUUUGUCUUUACACUCUUUAACCUUCAUUUUCCUAUAUCACACCUCUUUUUUGACAGCAAAUACUAAGUGAUGGUUUGGUCGAGAGGAACUUCUCUCUUUUUAGAGCUCCUGUAAAUGUUAGUUCGUGUGUAACUCAACUUUGGUGUUUCACCUCUUAUCACUGAUGAAUUUUUCUGUACUUGUGUGUGUCAUUUUUUAAAGUGUAUACAUCAGAGCGCUGGAUUUUAGCAUAGAUCAUGUCUAGUGAUUUUUUGAUGUGGAAAAUGUCAACAAAAGCUAUAACUGCACUGUGAUGUUCAUCUCUUUGUCCUACAUCAACUCUGUGGCAGUCUUGAAAAGCACAAACAAUUACAAUACAGAAAUGAUCAGUCCGUCUGCUACUCGUUGUCAAUAGCUUUGUUUACAUGGGCAAAUUUUCUUGAUCCUAUUAAAAAUUUGAGGGACUGGAUAAUCUGAAUCCACUGUUUAUAUGGGUGCAAAAUCAAAUGAUCCAAUCAUGACGUGCGUAUACAUGCAGCAAGCUUUAUUCAAAUUAGACGCAUUUGGACAUGCGCAGAGUUGUCUGAGUUCCCUAAACAACCGCAGAAGAAGAGUAGAAUAUGCGCCUGUGCUGUCAACAAACAAACAAACAAACAAACGUGGUCGUGGCUCACUCCAUCCAAUUCAGGAGUUUUCACCCUGUUAAAUGUUAUCACUAGAUGGCGCCCUUGCGUAGGCUACUUAUUUUACUGUUCUGUCAAAGGUUGCACUGUGUGUGCAGAUGUGACAUCAUUACGCUGUAUGUACGCCUUGUUAUGUUCCCGGAAGGACAGACACGGUACCUGCGCGGUAACAGUUGGCACAGAGUGGUAAUAAUAAGACCUCCUGAACUGGCCUCGAUAAAUAAGCCAAAAGCUAGACAGUGAAGAUCGAGUCAGGUAAGAGAGUCAUGAAUAAGUGUUUACAUGGACGCGUUUCGGAAUAACGCUUGGCAUAAACCACCCCUCUUGAUCGGAAUGCAAUUUCUUUCCGAUUGAGCCGAAAAUGAUCAGAAUCCUCCGAUCGGCAUGUUUACAUGACGCAUUUUUAUUCCGAUCGGACAUUUAUUCCGAUUAUUUGUGCCCAUGUAAACAAAGCUAACGUUUUUGUCACCAGUGCAUCAAGCCUGUGCCUGAACAUAGCCAAAAAUAAUCAACUCACUGUUCUUUGUAUUUUUCCUGGUUUGCCAUUUUGUUCAUUGCUGAAACAUAGUGCUAAGUGCCUCACAAAUAUCUUGGACAAGAUGAGUACCCAAAGACAGUUAUUUUCUCUAAGAUUAGUUUUCAGGAUUUUGGACUACAACUGAAGAGGACUGGACAGUGGACUGCUGAGGAAGUGGGGCAAGAGUAGGGAGUGACAUGUGGGAAAGUAGCCACAGGUUGGAAGUGAACCCAGGCCGUCUGUGAGACGAUUACAAUAUCAAGAUAGUCCUUCAGCAAAACAGAGACUAGUCUGGAUAUUGUUUCGGAAAUGACAAAGGCAACUGUGCAAACCAGUUUAGGCAGCACCCUGGGGUUUAUUUUCCUGAUGAAGGAAAAACUGAUGCAACAUAAUUAUAGAGAGGAUUGAACGCUUUGAUUUGAUCAUGAUGAGAGAAUUUUGCAUAAAGAUAAUCUUUUCAUGCUUUCUGCCCCACGAUAAAAGACUGGAAGUUUCACAGCUGGAAGAAAUGUACAGAGUGUAGACGAUCAUGACAUUUGACAGGGUUAAAGUCUUAAAAUCUGGCUUAGGUCAGCUGUAGCUUAGCAGGAAAAGAAAGUUUGAUGUUGCACAAGGAACUAUUCCCAAAUCGGAUGACUCACUCAGAGGCAGAAAGUUCUUCUAGGGUCCAAACGGAGAAGACACAAAACUGUGCACAUGACCAAUCUCUGCAGCUUUAUGUCUCUCUAAUAGUCUGUCUUAGUCCACAAAUCCUUUUUAGCAUAUCUUUAUAGAUACACACGGAAAAUAGAUCUUUGAGCUCUUCUGUAAACAAGGUCUUCUUUCUUUGGCCAAACGACAAUCUUUUGCUGGCUCUGGAUCUCUGGUCUCUAGACAGAGAAUUGAAGAGAAAUCCACAUCUGCUCAUCUGUAUAUAAGAUUGACAGACUGACUGACAUUACAAGUAAAGGCCAAAAUAAGCAUCUAUUUUGUUUCUGGUCAUAGUAGAUAUUAGAUGCUUAGCUUUGGCAAUGUUGAGCUCUUUUCUUGUCCAGUCUUACCAAAUCCAGCAGCUGGUUUCCUCUGCUAGACAGACAGCAGAGGCAGUCCUGUGACUUUGUCAUUGGCUGAAGAAAGCAUGUUUCCAAAGUCAGAUGUUUUAAAAUCUGUCGGGUUUGUGCCAUAAAACUUUUGCUCCACUUCUAGAAAAAUGGGAAAUUUGUGUUAUUUUUCUCUACAGCAUCCCCACGAGGUUGCAUAUUAUUUCAUGAACAACUAGCUAGCCAAACCAUCGCGUAGAUCUUUGCCAACAUGGUUAGCUUCCGGUAUUAGCUUCACUGAUAUGAAUGCUCACAGCUAGCACGGCUGUAGACUUGAGGUUUGUUUGUUAUACUGGCAUAUCAGGAAGCUAAUUUAAUGUGUCAGGUUUGAUAUUUUCAUGAGAUUUGAGCUGUUGUGCAUUUUACCUUGAUAUAAAUACGUCAAAAGCAAAACUGUACAGUGGCAUAAAUUGAAAAUUAGACUGAUAAAGUGUCAUUAUUGCUCAAUCAUAAAUGUCAGGAAGCAGAUAUUUUCCUUUUCUGUUAAAAUACAGUAAAAAUAAUAUUUUCGAGCUGUAGUGGAGUUUGAUUUUGUAUGUAUUUUCCUUCUUAUGGCAUGUUUUCAAGGAGAGGAUGUAAUUGGCGCUGCUCAGCACCUGGCAGGUCAGGAAAGAGAAAAAAAAAUGAACACAGAAGGUACGACAAUCAUCAACAUGGCAUGAGAGAAUCAUUACACUGUACUAGACGACAGUGUUGCAUAACGAGGAAAACUCUGGCAGACUGUAAAACACAGACUGUUCAUCAUAUUCCUGCCAAGAUCAACAGAGAGCUGAACUAGUUUGAACCGGAGCUUCAAGUCUUCCUGAGGACUUCCUUUGAAACUAAAUGAGGCCUUAAGAGCCAAUUCUACUUCAGUCACGUGUGCAAAUUAAACCUUGACACCAUGUCAAAAUGUUCGAUAGUAAAGUGGAAACAGCAACGUUUGAGACAGAAAUCUUCCUAUUACAUAAGAUUGAUGUUUAGCUCCAGUAAUCACGCUGCACGAAGAGUAAUCUACACAGUAUUAAAACAGGAAGCAUUUAUAUCAGCCAUUAUACGAGCACAUCCUUCACAGCUGAACCUCGUAGCUUGAGGUUCAUAUAGAUCUCCCAGCAGCCUUAGAUUGUGCAAUCACUUCUCGUGAAGUUUUAAAAUGCAUGACUUCUGUGUCUCAAGGCUCAUUCAGUUCCUUCCUUCUGUCAUCACAACUUAUCAAAUGAACCACAGCCCCAGUGAAAACUGAUAUUCCCUGCCAGACAGCGAUAAUUAUUCAGCCUCACAACACAAACAAGAGCUCAGGUUUAGGUGGCUGAGUUUCUGUGUAGUAGUCAGAAAUGUUCAGAGCUGGUAACCAUUAAAGUCUCAGUGCUGCUUUCAUCUGUGGAAGCGAGACGUGCUCCUCUCUGAUAUCACCAAAAUUGCGCGCAAAAAGUCUGUGAGAAAACAUGAAAUAUUAUUGUGACCUAGUGAAGCACUGCUCUAAUGUCCAAUUUAAAACAUAAGGCUGCAGAGAUUAAGUAUUACGGCCUUUGAAUCAACAUCUGGUUGUAAUCUGAGCUGUACAGUCUUGGCUACUGAAAGGAGACCAUACAUGUUUUUCCUUUAUUUUUGAAGUUGAUCUGAUUGGAACUGAACAGCGCUUUAUCUUUUAACACAACUUUUGAUUGAUUUAUUCGGAGGAAAGGCCAUUUCAGAAAUAUGUGAGUUUAAACAUGUCUUUCAUGUGGACAAAACCUUAAAAGCUAAAUUUCAGUGGAUGUGUUUUUACUGCCCAAUGAAUGUUUGACAAAGAUUUAAUACAAUCUGUUGCAUGCAAUUCUGGCAUAAAGCAGAGAGUUAUAAAACUCUAACAUGGUAAGAUGUGGCCUCAAUUCUGUUUCCAAUUUCCUAAAUCUUUUACAAAACCAGGGUAUCCAACAUGCCACUGAGCCAAAAGAACUAGCCAGGGCCAAAAACAUGCAGUUAUAUUUUUACAUUUCGUAAUAACAAGCUUUUUUUUAUUCUAAAAAUAACCAGGUCAAUUUUUCUUGCCUUAAAAUCAUCAGUUUUUAUGUGUGUACACCAGUUUUUAAUACCUUGACUGUGACAUAUUCCCAAUUUGUUUCAUAAUUUAAUCUUUUAAAGGGACAUGACAAAAGAGAGACUAGUUUUUGUCACUUGUAAUCAGGGUUGGUCCGUGUUCAUUAAGCACAAAUGAAUUCAUUCUCAUCACUUUGCUUAAAGUUUAUGCUGGAAAUUAUGCUGUCAAAAGAAGACCUGUCUGUGCAGAGACUCUAAAACACAAAAUGUUUUCCUUUGCAGGCAGGAAACUCUGAGGCUGGGAAAGCCAUCAGCUCCAAUUUCAGCAGCGCACACACCAACACUCACAAAUGCACACACAUCCUUGUUUUCUUCUUGUCCACAUCAGCAAUGUCAGGUAGUAUAACCAGUAUGAACAUUAGAUACUUCUGUCAAUUAAAAGAAAAGAUUAUAUUUUUUCCCCCGUUUUGGCUGUUCAGGUUUAAAGGUUGAGUUCCUCCAUCAAUAAUGACAAAAAUGGGAAAAAGAGACUGUGGAAAUGUUGCUGUACUUACUUCACAAGGAUGCACAGUUUCAGUUGCACAAUUGACCUGUGGGGUUUGCAAAUAUAUAAAAAAAAUCUGAGCUAGUAUAAAUUGAGAUUAUGAUUCAUUUUUGUCUAUAUUUAUUCUUAUAGCAUUGAAAACAUCUUUUUAAUAAGUAAUGUAUAUCUGUUUACUGCUGUUGGUUAGUUUUUGUUGAGCUCUCUGGUUUCUGUUUCUUUUUUAACAAUGGUUUCCUUCAUUCCUCUUCGGCUGGACAUACUCUCUAUAUACAGUAAAACACACAAAAAGGCAAAAAAGUUAAUCAGCUAAUGUUAAGCUUCACUUUUUCUGUUCCUUUAGCAUUUUACAUUCCACAACACGACAGGAGUAUUUGGAACCAAGUCAUCAAAAUUCAUGUUUUGUUUUUUCCUCAAGAGCAACUUUCUGUUUGGUACUUUGACACCGCUCAUGACAGUGCUGCUCUCUAGUGGUGGUUUUAUUUUGAGCUCCACAAAUUAAGAACAUUGGAAAACUGUUGAUAUGGUUGAGUUCAACGCUGUCUUGACUGUGAGAUUUUUGCUUUUGUUUUUGUUUUAGGCAAGCCGAGACAAGUCUAAAGCAGAUUUUGGCAACAAGUGCCUAACGCCGACAACAGAGGAAUCCUAACAGAGGUCAUAAGUCAUCAACACCAAGUUGGUUUGUUAUUUAUACCCCAUUUAUUGAGAUAUUUGAAACUGAGAAUUUCUGUCAAACUGAUUUAUAUUUGGAAUCACAAGCUUCCCCUGAUCACCAGUAGGUGUCACUAUUUGGUAGUAUAUCUCUAACACCAACAUCCACGAAAUGACAAAUGAGAGUUCAUAUGAGAUCCAUCAUUCAAAGCAAAAAUCACACCCAGCAGGGCUCAGGCAUGCUGAAAACAAAAGGUUGCACAGAGUGAACACACGGGCGGCCAGCUGCUCUGUUCAGAGAGCAGGUUCAUAUUAAACCAUGAUGGCUUUUUUAAAGGUUAGCACAAAUGACUUUAAAGGUCAAAACCUGCAUUUUUUUUCCCUGUAGAAGAAAUGUGUUUUUUUUUCUUUGAAUACUAAACCAAAUGGAGUCAGUGUGUCAGAUAUAAGAAUCCAUCACUCUUCUAAAAAAGCUGCAAAUAUCAGUCUCUGGGGGAGAUAAGAAGUGACUCAGAACAGCCACCUCUGAGUGUAAACACAUGUGGACUGGUUACCUCUGCGUGUGGAUGUUAACAUGACUGAGUGUGUGUUUGUGUGUGGCUGUCUCCAGGUGUGAGUUGCCAUCCUGUCCUGGGUAAUGGAUGUAAUUAACUGGUCACUGUAGCAUAGAGUCUUUAUAUACCAUAAGUAAUAGUCAAGCCAGAGCAAAUCACCACGUAAUGGGCAAUUCUCCUCCCAGCAGGGGCACUAAAUGUUUCAUCCCACUUUCUCUAAUUACCCAAUUAAAGCUUAUGUGGCAGAUAUGCUCUCCUGUAUUGUCUUCUGCUUGAGCUUGAUGGUAUGAGAGCCUUUCAGUAAUCAUAUCCUUUCAACAGCAUGAGAAACAAGAAUGUGAAGGAGCAGCACCAUGGGGAAACUACGUACCAGCAUGUACGCAGCAGAGACUUUCCUAUACUGGUGCAAACAAGAACACAUCAAGCAUAAAACAAGAAAUGUGUUUGGUGUAAACACAUUUCCUGGUUGUAGGUCAGAGGACGCAAACACUUUUUUUUAAGUGACAGAAUUGCAAAGCAGCGGUUUCAGCAGGGUUUAUAGACACUUGACUGAGAAUAGUGGGGUUAAUGUUCGUUACAGUCAGCACAUUUACAUGCACAGUUAAAUAAAGCUACGGUCAUAGUUUGAUUAGGUGGUUUAACUGGACUUCUGUCCUUGUCCCAGACUACGAGCACCAGCAAGAAUCAUAUAAUUCAAAGAAGCAUGUUCGCCUCUGCUAUGAUAAGUGCUGACAUACCCUCUCCAAUCCUGCCAUCACCUAGUUCAUGAAUUACGUGUCAAAACAAUCAACAAAAUGAGUUAGCUAUGAAACCCUGUGAGAAAGGAGGGUUUUGUCUGUAUUUACACCCUUUCUUCAGGUGUCGAGGUUUAUUUACACAUUUAUACUAUUCAACUGCCAGCUCAAAGCCUUGCAUGGGAUCAGGUUGUGAUUACACUUAUUCCAGUUCCAGUCCUAUUGAGCUGUGAGAAAAUCAAUCUCCAACCAAAUUAUCUGCAAAUUAGUCAGACUGUUUUAUUAAGUGCAAUUUCAUUCAGACUUGGGCAAAAAGCCAGACUAUCAACAGCUGCAGAUAGGGAUCAAUAUGACCUUGUAAAACCUCUUCUUUUAAUAUGAAUACUGGCAGUAGUAUAUACAAGGACUCUUGUCUCUGUCCUUUUCGCUCACCAAACUUUACCUCAGUUAAAAACUAUUUUAGCUGUGAUUUGCUAAAGGUUUGAACUGACAAUAACAAUGAGGAACACAAAAUUGUUGAGUCCAAGAAUAGUACUAAAACAAAAACAAGGUCUAUGAGGCAAAAAGAAGGGCAGAAAAUUUCCUGAACUGAGUGUAUACUUACACCAAAAUAUCAAUAUAGUGACAAUAUUAAAUUUUCCUUAGGGGAUCAAUAAAGGUCUUCUUGAUUUAUCAAUAGUGGGUAAGAGUUUCUCAAAUUGAUGGUGAUUCAGAUUCAGUGUUAGAUUUAGGGAAUCAGUUGUCAUUAAAUGCAUAGCAAACCAUGUUCCUGCAGAAACCCAGGAGGGACCAAAUCAGAAUCAGAACGCCCUUUAUUGUCAUCAUACUGAAAGUACAAUAAGAUUGGAGAGC
rnacentral:lncRNA from 1 species